UUUACUUUCUAAUUCUUAGUGUUAAAGAAUAACUUUUGGCAUGUGGACUAGUUAAUGUUUCUUUCUGACUCAUUAUUCUUUCAGUUUAGUAAAACCAUCAUUUCAUAUCUUUAUUGUUUAUUUUAAAACAAAUUCCCAUAGGUUAUUUUAAUAUACUCAAAAAGUUAUUUGUGUCUGCAUAUAUUGUGUUCAAUGAAUGUGUUCAUGCUGUAAGCAUUUUACAUUUUUAAGUUUUUUGAGAAGUUCUUCAAAGGAAUGUCUUUUUUAUAACAUUGUCUUUUCUUUAUUGCAACUUGUACUGAUUUCUAUAGUAGUAGAAGGAACAUUCACUAAUAUGGGAAGAAUAAUAAAAACACUUAUUUAUUAGUUGGCUUUAGCCUGAAAUUUGAGCUAAGAAGAGCACCUUCUACAUGCCUAUAUUUUUCACAUACAGCUCAGAGUACUCCUAUCAGGUCAAUGGUUUUAUCUCCAUUUUACAAAUGAGAAAAGUGAACCUCUGUCAAUCUUACAUAAUUGGUUCAAACCUAGGAUUUGUACAAAAGACUGCUUGGCUCUUCUCAUUACUCUAUACUUACCCAAAUGUUGGACAUUUUUAGUGUGUAACUUGCAUUAUAUAAGUGGUGUUUUUUGGGUUUUUUUUCUGUCUUCAUAGAUGUUUAAUAAAAUUUUGAACUAGCAUUGUAAAAUUACUUUGUGGGUGACAAACAUUUGAAAAAUGUUCAUAUAUUAGUAGUUGCUAGCAUAGAAGGUGUUUUUUUUUGACACACCCACACACAUAAUUGUUUUGUACAUAAAUUACAAUUAGUUAUUUAUGAAUGUAUAUACUUGUCUUACAUUCUAAUAUUUUAUGUGUGCAUAUUGUGUUCCUAUUCUUUCCUGCAUAUACCUUCAAUAAUUUUCACUAAUCACAUUAAUUCCCCAAUUAUAGGAAAGCAAUGUGCAUUUACACAUUUCUUAAGAGGAACUAUGAUUUCACCAUUAGGGUAAAAAUUAUGCAUUUCAGAAAUAUUCUUUUUUUGAAAAUCUGAAUUUAGAUUCACACAUGUUCUCCAGAAUCAUCAAGCAAUGUGACUGGUAUUUUUAGAAAAUAUUUUAGUGGUAUGAACUAGGUAUACCAUGAACUUAACUUUAUCAUCUAACAAAAUGUACGGUGAA